rnacentral:rRNA from 1 species
UACGGAGGGGGCUAGCGUUGUUCGGAAUUACUGGGCGUAAAGCGCACGUAGGUGGCUUUGUAAGUUAGAGGUGAAAGCCCGGGGCUCAACUCCGGAAUUGCCUUUAAGACUGCAUCGCUAGAACGUCGGAGAGGUAAGUGGAAUUCCGAGUGUAGAGGUGAAAUUCGUAGAUAUUGGGAAGAACACCGGUGGCGAAGGCGGCUAUCUGGACCGACAUUGACGCUGAGGCGCGAAAGCGUGGGGAGCAAACAGG